CAUGAAUAAGAAAUACUUUACAGAGGGAGUAUUUCUUAUCCACUCAGAAAAUAUUUAGCCAUGUACCGCUCUAAGUCAACGUAUAAGAUAACCAUGUAUCUAAUUUUAUUUUCCAAGGGAGGGCAUGAUGGAAGAUUGCAAAUGAGAAGCCACAAUCGGGAGCUCAACCUUUUUCUCAUUCUCCAUGGUCCUAGUGUAGCGGUCUUCUGCUAGAAUGGUUAGUAUUUUUUUGUGCCAAUCACGAAAAGAUACCUUAAAAAGUUCAUACUCCCAAUAGUUCAUGGCAUAUAUAGCCCCGGCAUAAUGCUAACCAUGCAAUGAUUAUAACUUAUUUCUUUUACUUCAAGAUAUUCAUGACAAUACUUUUCAUCGCGACAAUUUGAAACAGUGUUUUAAGGCAAAGAGAGGGGACGGGAGUAGCUUCCAUCUGAAGGAGGUUGGUGGAAACCAGGUUCACAAAUGCAUUCUUUCCUAGUCCUAAAGCAACGUUCUUGCUUCAGUGCACAACAGAAGCACAAACCAUUUGGGCAUGGUGGAUCUUUCUUUGGACAUAUGCAUAACUCAAUCUUGCCGCUAUCCACCUGAUCAGUUGCUUGAGCUGCAUAUGCAAAUAAGUGUGUUCUCAUUCAAUUAGGUAUUACAAAAAUUUAUACAAAAUUUCAAAAUAACUUAGUGAUGGUUCUCAAUGGUAUUUUCCCAAAAUCAUAUAGAACUAACCAAUAUCUUUACGAGAAGUUCAACUAAUUAUUGUUGGGUACUCACCCUGAGAAAAUAUUAUGAGGCAUGGAAGGAUGACCAUCACAAGCAUAAUCACCUUGCCUCUCUCCAUGGUAAUAUAAGCUUUCUCCUUUCUAAUAUGAGUAGUCUUAGUUUGUAAGGAUUUUUUUGCAUAUGAAUGACAACCG
rnacentral:lncRNA from 1 species